CGGCAAUGGCGUGAUAAUAUGCCGUAUAUAAUAUAAUAAAACACAAUCACAUUGUAGUCAAGAGCUGUUUCGGUAUUCCACGUAUCACCGUCAAUUAUAUUCAAAACGGAAAAUUUCCGUAGAAAAUCCAACAUAGAAGCAACGUGAGGUUUCAUAUCGUCCCUAUUAAAAGCAUCGUUAGAAAUAAAUACGCCGCGCCAGUCUACAUCUUGUAAUUCCUCGGUAAUCCGUGCACUCAUAGCAUCGUCGAUUAGGCGAGUGUCUAAAACCUUUAUCGCUUUAUCGGAGUGUGCGACAAAAUCAUUGGAUGCCAUAGGCAACUCAGUAAAAGUAACGUCAAUUGACAUAGCAUUAUGAUGCACUUCUGUCUUGAUCAGCGGAUCACUCACCUCAAUACGACAGCACUCAUCGUCUGUUGUAAACAACAAAUCGAGAAAUCUGUUGUUUUGAUUCGGGAUACCGCAAAUUUGGAAAAAGCCACAAGCAGCCAUCGAAUCAACGAACAGUUCUUCUUCUGGCUGGCGUACUUGAUAAGGUGACGAUGAAUCUACAAUAUUGCGGAUGCUUUCUACGUAUGAUGCAUAGCGACCAAAAUGCGAAUCAGGAGGACGAUUCGAAAAUAACGUUACUAUAAAACUUCUGAUUAACAGCAAUCAGUACACCACCGCCGCUGGUUUUAUCAGAAUUCGAUGAGGAUCUAUCGCAACGAAAGCAUAAACAUCGAAAUCACGCUCCAGUGCGGACAUGAAGACAGCUUCGAGCCGGCUACUGCUUCGGAUACUAUUCAUAUUCUGAUGAAUCACGCAAGCAACAGUUAUACACUUCUGGACAAGUGGAAUCAUUAAGUAACGGUGAAAAACGAGGCGAAGCAGAAUAUCGGGGAUUACUCGUUUGGCUGGCUUGGCGGGGGAAUAGGAAAUAAUUUCGGCUGAAUCCCGCGAGUGAAUUCAAACUCACGGAAAUAAAUACCCUUCUGCCAAGAUGAGGCAGACAUAGCUUUUUCUUUAUAUUCCGAUCCAAUUCCAACCUUGA